rnacentral:rRNA from 1 species
AGCAGGGAAGAAGCGAAAGUGACGGUACCUGCAGAAAAAGCGCCGGCUAACUACGUGCCAGCAGCCGCGGUAAUACGUAGGGCGCAAGCGUUAUCCGGAAUUAUUGGGCGUAAAGAGCUCGUAGGCGGUUUGUCGCGUCUGCUGUGAAAUCCCGAGGCUCAACCUCGGGCCUGCAGUGGGUACGGGCAGACUAGAGUGCGGUAGGGGAGAUUGGAAUUCCUGGUGUAGCGGUGGAAUGCGCAGAUAUCAGGAGGAACACCGAUGGCGAAGGCAGAUCUCUGGGCCGUAACUGACGCUGAGGAGCGAAAGGGUGGGGAGCAAACAGGCUUAGAUACCCUGGUAGUCCACCCCGUAAACGUUGGGAACUAGUUGUGGGGUCCAUUCCACGGAUUCCGUGACGCAGCUAACGCAUUAAGUUCCCCGCCUGGGGAGUACGGCCGCAAGGCUAAAACUCAAAGGAAUUGACGGGGACCCGCACAAGCGGCGGAGCAUGCGGAUUAAUU